UGAUAUAGGAGGAGUCUGCGGCACAUUAGCUAGUAGGUGAGGUAAGAGCUCACCUAGGCGACGAUGUGUAGCCGGUCUGAGAGGAUGAACGGCCACAAUGGAACUGAGACACGGUCCAUACUCCUACGGGAGGCAGCAGUGGGGAAUAUUGCACAAUGGGGGAAACCCUGAUGCAGCAACGCCGCGUGAGUGAAGAAGGUUUUCGGAUUGUAAAGCUCUGUUAGCAGGGAAGAGGAAGGACGGUACCUGCAGAGGAAGCCACGGCUAACUACGUGCCAGCAGCCGCGGUAAUACGUAGGUGGCAAGCGUUGUUCGGAAUAACUGGGCGUAAAGGAUGCGUAGGCGGUUGAGUAAGUUAUGUGUUAAAUAUAUAGGCUUAACCUGUAGAAAGCACAUAAAACUGUUUAACUAGAGUGCAGGAGAGGUAAGUGGAAUUCCUAGUGUAGCGGUGAAAUGCGUAGAGAUUAGGAAGAACACCAGUGGCGAAGGCGACUUACUGGACUGUAACUGACGCUGAGGCAUGAGAGCAUGGGGAGCAAACAGGAUUAGAUACCCUGGUAGUCCAUGCUGUAAACGAUGGGUACUAGGUGUGGGUUGUGAAUAACAAUCCGUGCCCGUCGCAAACGCAAUAA
rnacentral:rRNA from 1 species